GGGGCCGGACUUCGCCCCUGACUUUGAUUGCAGGUAGAUUCAGCCCAGACUCCUACAAGAGCCAGACCUCAUCUCCAACUCUGGCUACGGGAAGACUCCGCCCGGACUCCUACGGGAGCCGGACUUCAUCCCCGACCUCGACUGAUGGUAAACUCCUCCCGGACUCCUACGGGAGUCGGACUUCACCCCCGACUUUGACU
rnacentral:lncRNA from 1 species